rnacentral:rRNA from 1 species
AUGGGACGCCUGGACGACACUGUUGACCACAGCAGUUACCCCGGAGACUCAAGAUCGCCUAAUGCGGAGGUCACAAAGUUGCGGGAUCAGAUAACUCAGGCCCAGGAGGACUUGUCGGCUGAGGAAACCAGGAUGGCUGAUGAGCGGUCCGCUUUAGAUGCCCAGUCACAGCGGAUUCAAGCAGAAAAUUACCGGCUCCUGCUAGAUCAGAACACUUUGAAUGAGGUCUUGAGGAGGAGGCACCGGUCCCGUCUACCGCCGGUUUACAAAGCAAUGAAUCUCUUCAACACACCAGGAGCUGGACCCAGUAAUCCGGUAGCAGUAAACCGGAUUGAGGCACCUGGGACAGGAGCGUCGGAUCAGCCACCGGUGACGGACCCGCUUCGACGAACAGAUAGCCCGUCGCAAUACAUGCCGACCCCACCGGGUCACUUCUCCACCCCUUUGGAUAAUAUGAUUGUUGCGACGUCCCGAUUGGCAGCUAUUCCAAUGGAGGGUGAGUCUCCAGCGACGGUCGAAACGUGGCGGGCCAGGUAUCUCCUUCAAACCGCCAUGGUAUAG